CCUACGGGGGGCAGAAGUGAGGAAUAUUGGUCAAUGGACGAGAGUCUGAACCAGCCAAGUAGCGUGAAGGAUGACUGCCCUAUGGGUUGUAAACUUCUUUUAUAUGGGAAUAAAAUGUUCCACGUGUGGGAUUUUGUAUGUACCAUAUGAAUAAGGAUCGGCUAACUCCGUGCCAGCAGCCGCGGUAAUACGGAGGAUCCGAGCGUUAUCCGGAUUUAUUGGGUUUAAAGGGAGCGUAGGUGGAUUGUUAAGUCAGUUGUGAAAGUUUGCGGCUCAACCGUAAAAUUGCAGUUGAAACUGGGAGUCUUGAGUACAGUAGAGGUGAGCGGAAUUCGUGGUGUAGCGGUGAAAUGCUUAGAUAUCACGAAGAACUCCGGUUGCGAAGGCAGCUCACUGGACUGCAACUGACACUGAGGCUCGAAAGUGUGGGUAUCAAACAGGAUUAGAUACCCUUGUAGUC
rnacentral:rRNA from 1 species